UCGUCGCAGAAUACGUGGGGCGCUUUGUUAUUGUUUGUAAUCUGUACGGACCCUGUUGCAGCAGGCAUGGUCAAAAACUGUCGAUAAAGGGAGAUAAGAAAUUGAGUUCUCAGAACUCCGAUUGUUUCGGACAUUCAAAAGUUUAAGAUGCCAAAUAAGGCAGUCUUUUGCGUAAUAGGUUAUGUUUACUAUUUACUAACGGUUGUUCCACAAAGAGGACAAAGCGCUCCGCGCACGCGAAGUAAUUAAGCCAAAGAGGUUUACGUAAUGUAACGGACUACUGUAAUACACUUCCUGGCUUCAUACGCACUCACGGGUAGCCCGUGUUAUAUAACCACUCAUAACAGUCAACAUUGAUUUGCGAACUCAUAACGGCCGUGGGCGUCUUAUGUAAAUGGGCGGGACUCGAAGAGAUGUUAGCAGAACGUGAGGCUACUGCGGAUGUGAUGGAUGGAACCAUUCUUUCGUACUGGUAUUGCUGAAUGCUACUUUUGAGGCCGCCUCACACCGAACAUCCAUCCAUCCACUGAACGGUCUGUAUGCCUUGGACGUCCACGGUGUACUACUUCCUCACACCGCAAAUGUCCAUCCGACAAUUUUGUUUGCAUCUUUUGUUUCAGUUGCGACGUCCGUCAGGGAAAUAUUGGAAUAAUGAUGGUAUUCAGUUUACCUUGAUGUAAUUUUAUACAUUGAUCGAAAUUCAAAAGGUAUGUUUUGCUUUAUACAAUAAAACACACGUUUUUAUA